rnacentral:rRNA from 1 species
CCUACGGGGCGCAGCAGUGAGGAAUAUUGGUCAAUGGCCGGAAGGCUGAACCAGCCAUGCCGCGUGAAGGUCAGUGCCCUAUGGGCGUUAAACUUCUUUUGUGCGGGAGCAAUAAUGGUCACGUGUGGCCAGACGAGAGUACCGUACGAAUAAGCAUCGGCUAACUCCGUGCCAGCAGCCGCGGUAAUACGGGGGAUGCAAGCGUUAUCCGGAUUUAUUGGGUUUAAAGGGUGCGUAGGCUGUGAGGUAAGUCAGCGGUGAAAUGCCCCCGCUCAACGGGGUGAAGUGCCAUUGAUACUGCCAUGCUGGAAUGCGGAUGCCGUGGGAGGAAGGUGUGGUGUAGCGGUGAAAUGCAUAGAUAUCACACAGAACACCGAUUGCGAAGGCAUCUCACGAAUCCGCGAUUGACGCUGAUGCACGAAAGCGUGGGUAUCAAACAGGAUUAGAUACCCCAGUAGUC